GGCGGCCUAUCAGCUUGUUGGUGGGGUAAUGGCCUACCAAGGCUUUGACGGGUAGCCGGCCUGAGAGGGUGACCGGCCACACUGGGACUGAGACACGGCCCAGACUCCUACGGGAGGCAGCAGUGGGGAAUAUUGGACAAUGGGCGGAAGCCUGAUCCAGCAACGCCGCGUGAGGGAUGACGGCCUUCGGGUUGUAAACCUCUUUCAGCACAGACGAAGCGCCUGUGAAGGUGGUGACGGUAUGUGCAGAAGAAGCACCGGCCAACUACGUGCCAGCAGCCGCGGUAAUACGUAGGGUGCGAGCGUUGUCCGGAAUUAUUGGGCGUAAAGGGCUCGUAGGCGGUUUGUCGCGUCGGGAGUGAAAUCCACUGGCUUAACUGGUGGCUUGCUUUCGAUACGGGCAGACUGGAGGUAUGCAGGGGAGAACGGAAUUCCUGGUGUAGCGGUGAAAUGCGCAGAUAUCAGGAGGAACACCGGUGGCGAAGGCGGUUCUCUGGGCAUGUCCUGACGCUGAGGAGCGAAAGUGUGGGGAGCGAACAGGAUUAGAUACCCUGGUAGUCCACACCGUAAACGUUGGGCGCUAGGUGUGGGAUCCAUUCCACGGGUUCCGUGCCGCAGCUAACGCAUUAAGCGCCCCGCCUGGGGAGUACGG
rnacentral:rRNA from 1 species